AGCCUGAUGCAGCCAUGCCGCGUGUAUGAAGAAGGCCUUCGGGUUGUAAAGUACUUUCAGUAGGGAGGAAGGUUCAUGCGUUAAUAGCGUAUGGAUUUGACGUUACCUACAGAAGAAGCACCGGCUAACUCCGUGCCAGCAGCCGCGGUAAUACGGAGGGUGCGAGCGUUAAUCGGAAUUACUGGGCGUAAAGCGCAUGCAGGUGGUUAGUUAAGUCAGAUGUGAAAGCCCGGGGCUCAACCUCGGAAUUGCAUUUGAAACUGGCUGACUAGAGUACUGUAGAGGGGGGUAGAAUUUCAGGUGUAGCGGUGAAAUGCGUAGAGAUCUGAAGGAAUACCGGUGGCGAAGGCGGCCCCCUGGACAGAUACUGACACUCAGAUGCGAAAGCGUGGGGAGCAAACAGGAUUAGUUCCCCUGGUAGUCCACGCCGUAAACGAUGUCUACUUGGAGGUUGUGGCCUUGAGCCGUGGCUUUCGGAGCUAACGCGUUAAGUAGACCGCCUGGG
rnacentral:rRNA from 2 species